UACAGAGGGGGCAAGCGUUGUUCGGAAUUACUGGGCGUAAAGGGCGCGUAGGCGGCCUGUUAAGUCGAACGUGAAAUCCCCGGGCUCAACCCGGGAACUGCGUCCGAUACUGGCAGGCUUGAAUCCGGGAGAGGGAUGCGGAAUUCCAGGUGUAGCGGUGAAAUGCGUAGAUAUCAGGAGGAACACCGGUGGCGAAGGCGGCUUGCUGGGCCAGUUCUGACGCUGAGGAGCGAAAGCGUGGGGAGCGAACAGG
rnacentral:rRNA from 1 species